GGAGAUGUAUCUCCAAAAUUUCCUGCAACUUUCAGGUUUGUCAAUGCAGGUAAUGCAGACAACCAAACCCCCAAAAAUAAUGCUUUAAUCGUUAUUUUUAACCAUGAAAUACAUUUUUCCGAAUGUAUAAACUAUCGUUUAUACAAAAACUAUAUAUUUCUUACCUUAAUCGUCAAUUUCUACUCAUUUAUACAAAAAUUAUUUAUUUCUUACCUUAAUCAUCAAUUUCUACUCAUUUAUACAAAAACUCAAAAAAAAAAUCAAAAAAAAAAAACUUACAAAUCUUAAUGUGAUUGAUUCAUCAACUCAGUGUUAAAUGAUGUCUUUGAUGUACUUG
rnacentral:lncRNA from 1 species